rnacentral:rRNA from 1 species
ACCAUGCAAGUCGAGGGGUAACAUUGUGCUUGCACAGAUGACGACCGGCGAACGGGUGCGUAACGCGUAUAGAAUCUACCUCUUACUAAGGGAUAGCCCAGAGAAAUUUGGAUUAAUACCUUAUAGUAUGCAGACUUGGCAUCAAGACUGCAUUAAAGAUUACGGUAGGAGAUGACUAUGCGUCCUAUUAGCUAGAUGGUGUGGUAACGGCACACCAUGGCAACGAUAGGUAGGGGCCCUGAGAGGGGGAUCCCCCACACUGGUACUGAGACACGGACCAGACUCCUACGGGAGGCAGCAGUGAGGAAUAUUGGACAAUGGAGGCAACUCUGAUCCAGCCAUGCCGCGUGCAGGAAGACUGCCCUAUGGGUUGUAAACUGCUUUUAUACAGGAAGAAACACUGCUACGUGUAGCAGCUUGACGGUACUGUAAGAAUAAGGAUCGGCUAACUCCGUGCCAGCAGCCGCGGUAAUACGGAGGAUCCAAGCGUUAUCCGGAAUCAUUGGGUUUAAAGGGUCCGUAGGUGGAUAAUUAAGUCAGAGGUGAAAUCCUGCAUCUCAACUGUAGAAUUGCCUUUGAUACUGGUUAUCUUGAGUUAUUAUGAAGUAGUUAGAAUAUGUAGUGUAGCGGUGAAAUGCAUAGAUAUUACAUAGAAUACCAAUUGCGAAGGCAGAUUACUAAUAAUAUACUGACACUGAUGGACGAAAGCGUGGGGAGCGAACAGGAUUAGAUACCCUGGUAGUCCACGCCGUAAACGAUGGUCACUAGCUGUUCGAACUUCGGUUUGAGUGGCUAAGCGAAAGUGAUAAGUGACCCACCUGGGGAGUACGUUCGCAAGAAUGAAACUCAAAGGAAUUGACGGGGGCCCGCACAAGCGGUGGGAGCAUGUGGUUUAAUUCGAUGAUACGCGAGGAACCUUACCAGGCCUUAAAUGUAGAUUGACAGGACUAGAGAUAGUUUUUUCUUCGGACAAUUUACAAGGUGCUGCAUGGUUGUCGUCAGCUC